rnacentral:lncRNA from 1 species
AUUCUCAUGACUAAAUCCUACAUAUACCCACCUCCUUAAUUUGAGGAGAAGUGGAGCCUACAUUUUUUUUUUAUUUACUUUUUCUCAUUUUCUUUAGAUUUACUAAAACCUAAAAAGUUUUCUUUUANUAUAUAUAUAUAUAUAUAUAAACUUAUAAAUUGUCCUACGUAUUAUUGUGAGUCUUUUUUAAUCAUAUUAACUGCAAUAUAAUAUUUUUUCGAUUAUUGUGUUAUAAAAAUAAUUUUAAUCAUGAAUAAGAUUGAAUAAUUUUGUUAGAACGAUUGAUUCUUUUUCAUUAUAGUUUUUUGUUAAAAAAAAUAUUUGUCUAUCAUAUAGACUAUAUUUAUUAUUUUUUAUACUAAACUGAUAUUUUAUUUUUUAAAAAUUUUCACUUUAACAGUAUCUAACUACCGUAACACACGAGCCACUACACUAGUAACAACAAUAAAAUUGUAUAAUUUUUUAGGGCUUUUUCUUAUACAUUCCUUACUACUACUAAAAUUUUUUAAAUAUCUUCCUCAGUAUUCAAAAUAUUUUUUCUCAAAUUCAAUUUCAUUACUAAAUCUUAGAGAGAAAAAAAAUAUUUGAGAAAAUAUUUGGAUCACUGGUCAUUCAAAAACAAAUAAGAUAUUCUCAAAAGGCUAAAUUGCAGAAAAUUCUUCUGUAAAUACCUACUUUUUUAUUUUUUCGUCCUGACUUUCAAAAAUUUAUAUUUUGCCUUUUUAAAAUUUCAAAAAUAUUUUCAAGAGGGUAAAAAAAUUCCAUUCCAUUACUAAAUCUUAGAGGGAAAAAAAAUAUUUGAGAAAAUAUUUCGAUCAAUGGUUAUUCAAAAACAAAUAAGAUAUUCUCAAAAGACUAAAUUGCAAAAAACUCUCCUGUAAAUACCCACUUUUUCACUUUUUCGCUCCAACUUUCAAAAAUCUAUAUUUUGCCAUUUUAAAAAUUUCAGAAAUAUUUUCAAAAGGAUGCGGCGUUAAUGAAAAGAGCAAAAUGAUCAAACUGUACUUACUAAAAAAAUAAAUUUUAAUAUAUUUUUAUAAUUUUAAAAAGUAUUUUUGGUAUAAAUUAUGAGAAAUAGAUGGAACAGUGAUAAAACCCUGACAGAAUAAGGAGGGGGCUAAAUUCAAUAACUUGAAAUCUUGAGGAGAUAAAAUAUAAAAUUUUUGAAAAUUAAGAAGGAAAAAUAAAAAAAAAAAAGAAUAUUUACGGAGAAUAUUUUUUUAUAAUUUAACCUUUUUAAAAUUUUAAAAAAUAUAUUAAAUAUUUUUUUAAUGAAAUAAAUAAAUAAAAAAUUCUAAUAAAAAAUAAAAAAUA